AGCAUACAGAACAAGUGGCUCCUC
rnacentral:piRNA from 1 species